rnacentral:rRNA from 1 species
CCCCUAGACGUUCUGGGCUGCACGCGCGCUACAAUAAUACGCACAGCGAGUAUCACCGAGCUCGAAAGGGCAAGGUAAACAAUAGAAAAGGUACUGUAAUGGUUAUAGAUCCUUGUAAUUAUUGAUCUUCAACGAGGAAUUCCUAGUAAGUAUGUGUCAUCAUCACGCACUGAUUACGUCCCUGCCCUUUGUACACACCGCCCGUCGCUCCUACCGAUUGGGUGAGCCGAUGAAACUCUCGGAUGUAGGCUAUUCAUAGCCCGCAGAAGAGAUUUGAAUCGUAGCGCUUAGAGGAAGGAGAAGUCGUAAC